AUCAUCCUCGAACCCUCUCUAGCCGUCGGAACUCAGUAUUAUUCUGGUGCCGAUGAGUCUCCGGUCAGUUCAAUCCCGCAGUAAAAAGGAAGUCGAUUCGAUAAGUAUGACUUCCUUCGAUGCUUUGGGAAGAACACCCUGAGCGAGCGUGAGAGUAAAGAACUGGACUGCGUAGUUAUUGAUGUUGAAGCUCCCGCAGAUAUGUGGAUCUUUUUGUGGCUCAAGCUCCUGCUAAAUUCAAUCCAUCCCUUAUCACAAGAUCAGAAAAUUUGGAAUUGGUUUCCUGCAAAAGAAGCUUCACUUAAGCGUAGAUACAUCUUAGAAUUGCUUUAUAAUCUCCACAAAGGUCAUGAUCCAAGUAUUCUUCCAGCUAAUUCCAAAAGUGAACCGCCUCAUUGUGGAGUUUCAAGCAAGAGUGAUCAAGCAAAUGAAAGCAAGAAUGUGAUUGAGAGCUGUAACUGGAGGAAACCAUUUGAUGAUUCAUCAUCAAGCGUUACAGACAUUUCCCAAACAAAGACUUGCUCGCCAGUUCUGAUUCUUAGCAAAGAAACUUUUUGCACAGGAGGUUAUGAUUUAUGACCCUCAGUCUUCUAAGCUCCGAAAGGUCUUUAUGUCGCCUAUAGUGGAAGAAGUUCAAGAAAGUGGUGUGGAAAAGGAGUGAACAGGAGUAGAGAUUCAACUGCUGCUUCUUGGUAUAGUGACAUUCUUCUUGUGUUGUCUGAUGAUGAGAGAAGCUCAGACAAGAAAGAAAAUUUCUUAGUCACAAGUUCAAAUGUGAUGGCUAAGAAGCCAAAAACUUGAUAUUUGUAAUGAAGAUGAAUAUCGACAAUCUAAUGCUAUCAUUAUU